rnacentral:rRNA from 1 species
UACGGAGGGUGCAAGCGUUGUCCGGAUUUAUUGGAUUUAAAGGGUGCGUAGGCGGCCCUGUAAGUCAGUGGUGAAAUACUGCAGCUUAACUGUAGCAUUGCCAUUGAUACUGUAGGGCUUGAGUACAGAUGAGGUAGGCGGAAUUGAUGGUGUAGCGGUGAAAUGCAUAGAUACCAUCAAGAACACCGAUUGCGAAGGCAGCUUACUAAGCUGUAACUGACGCUGAGGCACGAAAGCGUGGGGAUCGAACAGG